AUAUUUCCAACCGUAUCUCUUUCGAACGGGAGACGCCUAACUAGGUUACGUGAUAUACGAACAUUAUACGGAAAGAGAGGUGUAGCAUGCCUCACCUUGCUAUCCUGCAAAGUGACGAGUCGAGGACGGUCCUUGUAAGCCUCUCCUGCAACAAAAGAAACAAAGCAUUGUUUAAGUCAAAAUUUCGGCAGCAACUCCCCUGCACGGGGAGGUUUCCAAAACCUGCAACAUAAUAAACGGCACGAUAGCCGACAACCACAAUCUCACCAAAGAGUUGGCACGAUGGCCAACAACCACAACCACAACCAACCACACCUCUAUUCUUUUCAACAUUUUCUAAUUUCUACUCUUCCUUCUUCUCGAAUUUUCUAAAUCCAUGCCUCUAAUUUCUAAAAUAAAUGCUACCACAUCCUAC
rnacentral:lncRNA from 1 species